rnacentral:SRP_RNA from 1 species
GCCAGGCAUGGUGGCGCAUGCCUAUAGUCCCAGCCACUUGGGAGGCUGAGCUGGGAGGAUCACUUGAGCCCAGGAGUUCUGGGUGCAGUGAGCUAUGAUCACACCACUGCACUCCAGUCUGGGCAACAGAGUGAGACCCUGUCACUA